AGGGUAUGUUUGGAAAUUGUUUUUUACCUUGUAGCAGCAGGCUCGGCAGCAGGAGGAAACAACCACAGAGAUGAUGACACAGCCUCGGUGACUAGCCUUAACUCUUCUGCCACUGGCCGCUGUCUCAAGAUUUAUCGAACAUUUCGAGAUGAGGAGGGGAAGGAAUAUGUUCGUUGUGAGACAGUCCGAAAAGCAGCUGUUAUUGAUGCUUAUGUACGCAUACGGACCACAAAAGAUGAAGAAUUCAUUCGAAAAUUUGCCCUUUUUGAUGAGCAACACCGAGAAGAGAUGAGAAAAGAACGGCGGAGGAUUCAGGAGCAACUGAGGAGACUUAAACGAAACCAGGAAAAGGAGAAACUGAAGGGUCCUCCUGAGAAAAAGCCCAAAAAGAUGAAGGAACGUCCUGACUUAAAAGUAAGUAUAUUAAGCCAGGCAUGGUAGCACAUGCCUUUAAUCCCAGGACUCGGGAGGCGGAGACAGAGGCGGGUGGAUCCCUGAGUUUUAGGCUAGCCUAAUCUACAGAGUGAGUUCCAGGACAGCCAGGGCUACAUAGGGAAACCCUGUCUCAACUUCUCCCCCAAUCCCCAAUGAUGUCUGUUUUUGUUUCUCCCCUGCUGUGUGUAUGUGUGUGUGUAUAUAUAUAUUUUUUUCAUUUUGACACACUUCACCCCGUGUACCUUUAACACGAUAUCUUUUUUUGUUGCAGCUAAAAUGUGGAGCAUGUGGUGCAAUUGGACACAUGAGGACAAAUAAAUUCUGCCCUCUUUAUUAUCAAACAAAUGCACCACCUUCUAAUCCUGUUGCAAUGACAGAGGAACAGGAAGAAGAGCUGGAAAAGACAGUCAUUCACAAUGAUAAUGAAGAACUUAUCAAGGUCGAAGGGACCAAGAUCGUUUUGGGAAAACAGCUAAUUGAGAGGUAAGGGAUACCAGGCAGGGAGUGCUGUAGCAAAGACCUGUUCAAGGUUGAUGAUUAUGGCUGGCAGGGCUAAAUGUGGUGUGAUUGUUCUUUGAAGUGGAACUGGGGGUUGUAGGAACUUUGAAUUAUCACAAGUAAUUUUUGCUGGUAAUGAAAACCUAAUGAUUGGGGCUUACUACUUGCCUUUGUACAUACUAUUUUUUCUGACUCAGUAUUUUUCUUCUGGUUUUGUUUGGUUGGUUUUGUUUUGUUUUCUUUUGUUUCAAAACAGAGAUUCUACAUAACCCUAACUAUCUUGGAACUCACUCUGUAGACCAGGCUGGCCGUGAACUCAGAGAUCCUCCUGCCUCUUCCUCUGGAGUGCUGGGAUUAAAGGCUUUUGCCACCAAGCCACGAUAAGUCUUAAUAUUUAUACAAAUACCCUUACUGGAGUAGUUUUUUGUUCUGUUUUGGUUUGCUUGUUUUUGUGGUACUGGUAGGCACAGUAGGAAAGUAAGUGUUCUAUCACUGAGCUACAUUCUCAAAUUCUUGCACUUUUUUUUUAAGGUUUUGCUAAAUUAGCCAUGUUAACCUCAAACUGAAUCUUUCUUUCUCAGCCUCCCACAUAGCUAGGAUUAUAGGCAUGGAACACCAUACCUUGCACAUGAGGGUAGUUAAGAUUAAAUGAGAGACUAUAAAGCAAAGUAUACUUAUGCCCAAUCUUCUUGCCCUUAGAAUUUAGUGAAUGGAGAUGUUUGGGACUGGAGAGAUGCUUCAGUAGUUAAGAGCACUGGCUGUUUUUCUAAAGGACCCAGGUUUAAUUCCUAGCAUCCACAUGGCAG
rnacentral:lncRNA from 14 species